rfam:Oryza glaberrima chromosome 10 Oglab10_0128_18, whole genome shotgun sequence.
AAAAAGGCAAACUCUAGGUUUUCGUGUUAACAUUUAACUGUUCGUCUUAUAUGAAAUUUUUUUAUAAUUAGUAUUUUCAUUGUUGUUAGAUGAUAAAACAUGAUUAAUACUUUAUACGUGACUUAUCUUUUUAAUUUUUUUAUAAUUUUUUUAAAUAAGAAGAAUGGUUAAACGUUGGACACGGAAACCAGGGUUUGUCUUUUU